UGAUCAGGGCAAACCCAUUGAAAAAUGGGGACGCAAAGCUAAAGGGGCUAACGGAUUUGCUGCCAUGCAAAUGUUACUGCCAGCCAGCUGCCGA
rnacentral:ncRNA from 1 species